CCCGGGUCCACAGAGGAGACUGUGCAAGGCGCGGGGGGGGGGGGGGGGGGGGGGGGGGCGGGGGACGAGAGUGUCCCUGCGGCCGCCCCGGAGUCACAGCGCCCUCUCUGGGCAGUGACGGAGUUUUCCCAGAUGGUGGACGAGUGGGGUCCGGACCACGGGUCCUGGGGAGCGGAGGGCAGGGGCAGGGGCAGGGGCAGGGGCGGCCCGCGGCCCCUCUGCGGGCGCACCUUUGUGGCGGAUGCUGCGCUUCCAGUCCUUGGCCGUCUCACGGCCGCUGACGAACUGGAAUUCGUUGGGGAGGAGGAAGGUGAGACACAGAAAAGUCAAGUAACACUCCUGAUAUCAUACAGCUGUUUCAUAUCCAGGUCAUCUGACGUUAGCUCAGACAGUAUCUGUGCCAAGCAGCUCUGGGGGAGAGGACCUGCUGUAUUUAUGUCUAUCUCAGGGCUUUGGAGCAGGAAUGAGAGUGGCUUGUCCCCUGAUGACCAGCCCACACCGCUGUGCCAGUCAGAAUGUCAUCCUUGCACUGGGAGAAUUAGGCAGGGAAGCUGAGAAACUCAGAGGCUGCAGGAAAGCAGUGGUAAUAACCGAUGAGACAGGCUUUCCUUUCUCUGGUGUGUCAUUGUGGACAGGCUGGAAGUAACCUCAGAUCCCAACCCAGCAGUCAGACCCCAAUACCUGUCCCUCUGAGAUGCAACCGGCAGGGCAUCUGUGGGCAUAUCCCUGAAUAGAUUCUGCAGGGGGAGCUGGGUCACAGCUUGCACAAGCACCUUCUGCAAGGGAGGGGUCGAGAGUGAGAGGACACACCACUGCCACUCACCUCCUACCAGCUGGGCCUGAGGUUGACCAUUGGCAACCAUUUUGG